rnacentral:siRNA from 1 species
CCUGACAAACUGCAAAAUCGGUGA